ACAUCUAUUUGGUGUUUACCCAUUGUGUAAUUUGUGUUCUCUAUGAAUUUGAAUUGAAAAUAUUUUGAUGAUCUGGGAUUUCAUGUUAUUUGUGUAUUCUUCUCCGCAUCUUUAAGUCAUCGUCUCUCUUUCACCCUUAAAUCAAGCAGGUGAAUGAUGAGAUUGAAUUUGAUAUAUACAAUAAAAUUGGUUGAGUUCCGAAAAGGUUCUUCCAAACUGAGUUGGAAACCAAGUAUACCAGGUAUUCUGUGGUCGGAAAAUUGAUCCCAAUCAUGAGAUUCCAGGUAUUUUUGCUGGUGGAAAUCAAAUAACUUGUUACUAUUCUUAAAAAUCCUGCUAGAUAAUUUCCCAGGCCAGUGAGUACACUGGCAGUGCAGACGUCAUGAGGGGCUUGGUUGCUUGACUUGUGCACCUCAUCAGCUAUCGAGACCUUACUGCGCAAGCUCACAACUCCAAGUUCGGGUUGUAAUGAAUGUAAUUUUCUGGUUAUUCUGAGACCUGAACAAGUUUGGUGAUCAAAUCAGUUAAUUUGCAAACACCUCAAUAAAUGCAACAAAUCCAAGGUUUUAUGUUACGUCAGACAUGAAUCUUUAUUUUGAACAAAGACCAUAUUGAGCAGUCAUGCUUCUUUAUACAAAUACAGUUUAUAACAUGCCAUCAUAGUUUAUCUUAUAUACAAUUUUACAAAAGAAAUUAGGACUUGCACAAGACACAUUCAGACAAAUGAAUUACAAUCUCUAUGACUUUUUCCCCCUUGAACAUCAAGAGGUAUACUUUUUCAAAUCAGUAAUAUUUCCCUUUUUAUGUAGAUCUAUGCUUCAAUUCACACUUUGAUUUCUGUCACAGAAAACAUCAAAAUAUAUAUUUUUUUAUUAAAAGUAUGGGGUUUGAGCCUUCAGCGUAAUACAUCAGUGUGGAGAAGGAUGAAAAUAAUAGCCGUUACAAAGACACUUAUAAUGUUCAUCUCAAUUAUUCUUGUGACUCUUGUCCGUAGCAUUGGUUUGACAAUGACUCCAUCUAAAAUCUGGAAACCCAUAUCUUAGACAAUGGGUGAUUUCAAAUUUUGGUGUCGACCUUUUUUGGUGAUGGUGUAUG